GAUGAACGCUGGCGGCGUGCCUAAUACAUGCAAGUCGAGCGAACAGACGCUGCUCUUGCUCCUCUUUCGUUAGCGGCGGACGGGUGUUUCACACGUGUCUCCCCUACCUUUAUUUCUGGUAUCUCUUCGGGAACCCGGUUCUAAUACCGGAUCAUAUCUUGAUCCGUCUGGUUCUUUAGUGCAUUUCGGUUUUGCUGUCUCUUAUAGAUGGUUCCGGGCGGCAUUAGCUAGUUGGUAAGUUACCGGCUUACCACGGCAACGAUGCGUAUCCGACGUGAGAGGGUGAUCGGCCACACUGGAAGGGAGACACGGUCCAGACUACUACGGGAGGCAGCAGUAGGGAAUGUUACGCAAUGGGCGAAAGCCUGACGGAGCAACGCCGCGUGAGUGAAGAAGGUCUUGGGAUCGUAAAACACUGUUAUGAGGGAAGAACAAAUGUGGAAGGAAAUAUGGACGUAUUGACGGUACCGAAUAAGAAAGCAACGGCUAACUACGUG
rnacentral:rRNA from 1 species